CCCUUAGAUGUUCUGGGCUGCACGCGCGCUACACUGACGCACGCAACAGGUGCCUGCUCCGAGAGGACUGGGUAAUCAUUUGAGUGUGCGUCGUGAUGGGGAUAGAAUAUUGUAAUUAUUACUCUUCAACGAGGAAUUCCUAGUAAGCGCCAGUCAGCAGCUUGCGCUGAUUACGUCCCUGCCCUUUGUACACACCGCCCGUCGCUACUACUGAUUGGGUGUUCAAGUGAGAUGCUUAGACCCUUGUUGCAUGGUUCAUUAUUGUGCUCCGAAAGGAAAAAGUUUCAAGCUUGAGUGUCUAGAGGAAGUAAAAGUCGUAACA
rnacentral:rRNA from 1 species